rnacentral:rRNA from 1 species
CGGGCUUGAACUGCAGAUGACAAACUGCGAAAGUGGUCUUCCGCAAGGACAUCUGCAGAGGUGCUGCAUGGCUGUCGUCAGCUCGUGUCGUGAGAUGUUGGGUUAAGUCCCGCAACGAGCGCAACCCUUGUCCGCUGUUGCCAUCAGGUUAAGCUGGGCACUCUGCGGAGACUGCCGGUGACAACCGGNGGAAGGUGGGAUGACGUCAAGUCAGCAUCGG